rnacentral:rRNA from 1 species
AGCGAACGCUGGCGGCAUGCUUAACACAUGCAAGUCGCACGGUCAGCAAUGGCAGUGGCGGACGGGUGAGUAACGCGUAGGAAUCUAUCCUUGGAUGGGGGACAACCGUGGGAAACUACGGCUAAUACCGCAUGAUGCCUGAGGGCCAAAGACGUAAGUCGUCUGGGGAGGAGCCUGCGUCUGAUUAGCUAGUUGGUGGGGUAAAGGCCUACCAAGGCGACGAUCAGUAGCUGGUCUGAGAGGAUGAUCAGCCACAUUGGGACUGAGACACGGCCCAAACUCCUACGGGAGGCAGCAGUGGGGAAUAUUGGACAAUGGGCGCAAGCCUGAUCCAGCAAUGCCGCGUGUGUGAAGAAGGUCUUCGGAUUGUAAAGCACUUUUGGCAGGGACGAUGAUGACGGUACCUGCAGAAUAAGCCCCGGCUAACUUCGUGCCAGCAGCCGCCGUAAAAC